rnacentral:rRNA from 1 species
CCUACGGGAGGCAGCAGUGGGGAAUCUUGCGCAAUGCGCGAAAGCGUGACGCAGCAACGCCGCGUGAGGGAAGACGGCCUUCGGGUUGUAAACCUCUUUCAGUUGGGACGAAGCCACGGCGGUUAAUACCCGUCUGUGGUGACGGUACCUUCAGAAGAAGCCCCGGCUAACUACGUGCCAGCAGCCGCGGUAAUACGUAGGGGGCAAGCGUUGUCCGGAAUCAUUGGGCGUAAAGCGCGUGUAGGCGGCUUGGUAAGUCCGCUCUGAAAGCCCGGGGCUCAACCCCGGGAGGCGGGUGGAUACUGUCAAGCUCGAGUCCGGAAGAGGCGAGUGGAAUUCCUGGUGUAGCGGUGAAAUGCGCAGAUAUCAGGAGGAACACCAAUGGCGAAGGCAGCUCGCUGGGACGUGACUGACGCUGAGACGCGAAAGCGUGGGGAGCAAACAGGAUUAGAUACCCUGGUAGUCCACGCCGUAAACGAUGGGCACUAGGUGUGGGAGGUGUCGACUCCUCCCGUGCCGAAGCUAACGCAUUAAGUGCCCCGCCUGGGGAGGUACGGCGCGAGACGAACACAAGAGUAGAGCGUGAGAGNGCCGACGGACGACGACGAGGGAGAGG